AAAUAGGAGCAAUAUGGAGAUGAUAUAGGGGCUAGUUAAUAAGGAUUUCAAAAAAGAAGGGAAAUUUGGGAAUUAAAAAAAUAAAAAAUAAAACCAACGAUGCAUAUCUACCCUUGACAUUGAACAGUCCUCAUAACCCUUAUAAAAACUUCUUCUUCUCAGCCAUUUAGGGGGGGGGACCCUAAUAGAAAAGGGAGGGUCGAUUGUGAGAGAGAGAUAGUGAGACUGACUCAGAGGAGAGCAAGCCGAAUGAGUAUGAGAUUUUAGAGAGGAAGUAGGAUCUUAUAAUAGCUAGCCUAAUCGAGAGAAGGAUGGGCGAAAAGAGUACGAAGAUCUAAAGAGGAACUGAUGUCGUUGCGUUAUGGCGUCGCCAAGGAGGACUUGACACAGAACCGACAUUGCAAGUAAACAUCCACGCAGUGAUAGGAGGUACGAAAAAUUUGGGUUUCAAACACCAAAAUUGAGAUUUAUAUUUUUAAAUUCCUUAUUUCGGAGGAUGUAUGCAUGAUUGGGGUUAAAAAACAGAAGGGAAGAUAUUUGAACUUUUAGUAGAAUGUUAGAUUGUGCAUCAUAAAAGGCUAAACCUGAAAGUGUAUAUAGAUAUGUGAUGAUGCAACAACAAGGUAAGAGAAUCAAGGGUGAAAGGGUUUUCAUGAUAGAAGGCUGAAAUUUUGGAGAAAAUCAAUUAGGGUCUUAAAAACCAAAAAAUAGGAUGAAUGGCUAAAAGUAAAUCAGAUCUGUUAAAGAGAAAGGGAUAGCAGAAUGUAAAUUAAUUUAAGGAUAAAAAAAUGAAAAAAGUAUGAAUGAACACUAAAGAAACAAAAUAGAUGGGAAAUCAGGGCCUAUUUUAAGGGAGAGCCUAGGGGAGGAAAUAACAUAAUAUAGGUUUUGUUUGUAAUGAUUUAGAAACAGAAUUGUGAAUAAAUGAUAGGAGUUUGAGGAAGAGAAUAGAUGGAGAGAUAUGGGAAUAAAUGGAAAUUGUUACAAGGCAGAUAAAGGGAGAAGAAUUAAAUAGCCUUCUAGGGGACUGUGGUGUUAAACUAAAAAUCUUCCUAAGGAAACAUGGGUCGUUGUUUCUGGUGUGUGGAUUAACUUUGUAUGGGUGUGUGGUCAGUUGGUGGCCGAAAAGUGUGUGAAAAUAGUGUACCUCAUAUGCUGUAUUAUUAACAAUUGUGUAUUGCAUUUGUAAGUUGUAUGUUGUGUUAAUAGUUGUAUGUGUAUGAGUGGCCAAAUAUGGGUUGGAUUUUACAUUAUUUCCUUGUCACAUUAUCUACUGAUUUUAUUUACUAUGGAAUACAUUAACCUACCUUAGGUUAUUAAAUGUGUUGCGUAAGUGGGCUAUUUGAGUGGGAGAGUGAUGACAAAGAGUAGAAAGACUAUUGGGGACAAGUCAAGAAAGUGGAUAAUGGGCUAUUUGUACUUGUGAGCUUUGGGGAGAGUCUAAGAUAUCUAGAAUUUUCCUUUAGAGGGAAAAAGAGGACUAUCUAGAGUGAGAUAGAGAGUUGAGGGUGAAUCUGAUUUAGAAAUUUUUUUGAUUUUAAUACAUUGUUUAAAUUUAAAUUUGACUUCAUGGGCAUGUGUAGGCUCAUUCAUAUUUAUUUACAGACGCAGUGAAGCAAGAAUCAAGAUACGAUUCACCAUCAGCGGAAUCCAAUAUUAGGGGAUACAAGAAGAGAAUAAGUGAGAUUUUAACCAUUAUACUCAUAUGGACAUAAUAGUUAAAAUUAACAUAUGUAUAAGAACAUCUUUAUUAUUCACUAUGGUAUAGCGUAUGUUGAUAGGAAGCUAAGGAAUAUUUUGACUGUGUUGAAUUAGAUGAUGAUGAAUUUGAGAAGUAUGUACUAUCGGUAAUUUAAAAUAGGAUGCCUUGACUAUUAGAGGUUGCAGGGCGUUACAGGAUAAGAGAAAAGUACAGGUAAGUGAUUUGAGUUGAGGAAAACACCCACUAGGGUGAAUGAGUUACUGCACUGUAAUGCAUAUUUUAAUUGCUUGAGGCGCUGAUCUGGGCUUACUAAGCAAUUUAUGCUCAUCCUAUUAUUUAAUAUUAUUUUUCCAAAUCAAAUAAAAUAGAAGGGUGAUUCUAAUCAAAUCAACCUAGUUCUGGAAGCAUGGAGGAAACAAGAAAAGGGAAAACUAAAGCUGUGUAGAAGUGAGAUUAAAUAGAGGUUCAUAUGGCGAAUAUGAAUACAAGAACAAUGCUUCUGAAAAAGAGAAGAAAAAAAAAACAACAAGAGGCAGUAGGAUAGAUAAUGAAAAUUUAUACAUUUAGUUGGUAGGAUUUCAGAACUAUUUGAAUAUAUGAACACAUGUUUUGGAUCUUCUCAAAUUUUAUUUAUUUGAUAUAUAUAUUUUCUUGAUAUGCAAGUUUAUGAGCACUUGUAUAUGGGUUUCCAGGCUAGAUCAUUACACUGUCUGGAGUGAUGCAUGAU
rnacentral:lncRNA from 1 species